AUUGAACGCUGGCGGCAGGCCUAACACAUGCAAGUCGAACGAGCGGCGGACGGGUGAGUACGGUAUGGGGACUGCCCGAAAGAGGGGGAUAACUACUGGAUACGGUAGCUAAUAACACAUACUAUCGGAUAACCCAUAUGGGAUUAGCGAGUAGGGGGGGUGAUUACUAACCUAGGCGACAAUCCCUAGCUGGUCUGAGAGGAUGAUCCGCCACACUGGGACUGAGACACGGCCCAGACGCCUACGGAGGCAGCAGUGGGGAAUAUUGCACAAUGGGCGAAAGCCUGAUGCAGCCAUGCCGCGUGUAUGAAGAAGGCCCUAGGGUUGUAAAGUACUGUCAGUCGGGAGGCGUUACCGACAGAAGAAGCACCGGCUAACUCCGUGCCAGCAGCCGCGGUAAUAC
rnacentral:rRNA from 1 species